rnacentral:rRNA from 1 species
AUGGGUCGUGCUCGCGGCGGAAGGCUGCUCCCUGUCCUCGCCGCGCUGUUCGUGGCGCUGCUCCUCAUCUCCGGCUGCGCGGCGGAAGGGGAGGACGAGGAGGGCUCACCGGUGCCGGCGGAGGAGCCGGAGGCGCCCAUGGAGGACAAGGAGAAGGCGGCCCUGUACGCCGCCAUCGGGAGCUUCGUCGGCAAGGCGUGGAACGGCUCCGGCCUCUUCCCUGACCCCUGCGGCCAGACUCCCAUCCAGGGGGUGUCAUGUGACCUCUUCAAUGGCGUGUGGUACCCAACGGUGGUCAGCAUCGGUCCGGUGCUCGACAACUCGCUGCAGUGCGCCCCGGACGCAAGGUUCAGCCCCCAGCUGUUCGACCUCCGGCGCCUCAAGAGCCUCACCUUCUACGCCUGCUUCCCGGCGGCCAACCCCACGACGAUCCCGGCCGCUAGCUGGGACAAGCUCUCCGGCACCCUCGAGACGCUCGAGUUCCGCUCGAACCCGGGCCUGUCCGGCGCCAUCCCGGCGUCCCUCGGCCGCCUGGCCAGCCUGCGGUCCCUGGUCCUCGUCGACAACAACCUCACCGGCGCCGUGCCGUCGGAGCUCGGCGGGCUGGCGAAGCUGCGGCGGCUCGUGCUGUCCGGGAACGGGCUGUCGGGCCCGGUGCCGGCGACGCUCGGUAACAACAACCCCCAACUACGCCGCCUCGACAACGAGCAGCUGCUGAUCGUGGACAUGAGCAAGAACUCUCUAACCGGGUCUCUGCCUCCGUCGCUAGGUGGGCUCAAGGGGCUGCUCAAGAUGGACCUCAGCAACAACCGCCUCGACGGCCGCAUCCCGCCGGAGCUCGCGGGGCUCGAGAGCCUCACGCUGCUCGACCUCCGGAACAACAGCCUCACCGGCGGGCUCCCCGAUUUCGUGCUGGCCAUGCCGGCCCUGCAGGACCUGCUGCUCUCCAGCAACCCGCUGCUGGGAGGCACCCUGAUGCAGCGCGGCUGGGAGAAGAUGGCGAGCCUGGCGACGCUGGACCUGUCCAACGUCGGCCUCGCCGGCGCCAUCCCGGAGUCCAUGGCGGCGAUGCCCAGGCUGCGGUUCCUGGCGCUGGACCACAACCGGCUCUCCGGCACCGUGCCGGCCAAGCUGGCCGCGCUGCCGAGCAUCGGCGCCAUGUACCUCAACGGCAACAACCUGACGGGGGCGCUGGAGUUCUCGGCCCGGUUCUACCAGAGGAUGGGCAGCAGGUUCGCCUCCUGGGACAACCCCGGCCUGUGCACGGCGGAGACGGCCGGCGGCGCGCCGACCGGCGUGGCCGUGUGCAAGGACGCGCAGGACCCGCCCCGCGUCGGCGUGAGGGACGGGAUGGAUGGGGGCGGGAGGAGGCCCGAGGCGAGCUCGAGCCUCCCGGCGUCCUCCUCGUCGUCUGCCAUGGUCGCCGUGCUCUGGUGGUCGGUGCUGGCUCAGGGGAUGGCGAUGGCGUUGUAG